UACGUAGGGUGCGAGCGUUGUCCGGAAUUAUUGGGCGUAAAGGGCUCGUAGGCGGUUUGUCGCGUCGGGAGUGAAAUCCACUGGCUUAACUGGGGGCGUGCGGGCGAUACGGGCAGACUGGAGUACUGCAGGGGGAGACUGGAAUUCCUGGUGUAGCGGUGGAAUGCGCAGAUAUCAGGAGGAACACCGGUGGCGAAGGCGGGUCUCUGGGCAGUAACUGACGCUGAGGAGCGAAAGCGUGGGGGAGCGAACAGG
rnacentral:rRNA from 1 species